rnacentral:rRNA from 1 species
AGAGUUUGAUCCUGGCUACAGAACGAACGCUGGCGGCAGGCUUAACACAUGCAAGUCGAACGCGUGUAGCAAUACACGAGUGGCGCAUGGGUGAGUAACGCGUGGAUAUCUGCCUUUUGGUUCGGAAUAACUCCGGGAAACUGGAGCUAAUACCGGAUGGUUCCUACGGGAUAAAGAUUUAUCGCCAAAAGAUGAGUCCGCGUACGAUUAGCUAGUUGGUGAGGUAAUGGCUCACCAAGGCGACGAUCGUUAGCUGGUCUGAGAGGACGAUCAGCCACACUGGGACUGAGACACGGCCCAGACUCCUACGGGAGGCAGCAGUGGGGAAUAUUGGACAAUGGGGGCAACCCUGAUCCAGCCAUGCCGCGUGAGUGAUGAAGGCCUUCGGGUUGUAAAGCUCUUUUGGCGGGGACGAUGAUGACGGUACCCGCAGAAUAAGCCCCGGCUAACUUCGUG